AGCGUAGGUGGCCUAACAUGUCAACUGUGAAAACCCGGAGCUCAACUCCGGACUUGCAGUUGAAACUGGUAGGCUUGAGGACGGUAGAGGAAGACGGAACUGCCAGUGUAGGGGUAAAAUCCUUAGAUAUUGGCAGGAACGCCGGUGACGAAGGUGGUUUUCUGGGCCGGUUCUGACACUGAUGCUCGAAAGCCAGGGAAGCGAACG
rnacentral:rRNA from 1 species